rnacentral:rRNA from 1 species
GUGCCAGCCGCCGCGGUAAGACAGAGGUGCCAAGCGUUAGGCGGAAUCACUGGGCUUAAAGCGUGUGUAGGCGGACUGGUAAGUACCUUGUGAAAUCCCACGGCUCAACCGUGGAACUGCUCGGUAUACUGCUCGUCUUGAGCCACUUAGGGGCUGUCGGAACAAGCGGUGGAGCGGUGAAAUGCGUAGAUAUCGCUUGGAACGCCGAAGGUGAAAACAGGCUGCUGGGGUUGUGCCGACGCUGAGACACGAAAGCCAGGGGAGCAAACGGGAUUAGAUACCCCAGUAGUCC